CUCGACAUGAAACUAAGUCCAGAGACAUUGCACGUACGCUCUGCGUCUGUCGAAAAGUGCACCACGCUGAGUACGCACCCUGUGCAUGCUCAUUCUUGUGACUAGGUUGAAGUCUAUCAUGGGAUGUUGGACUAUCUACACAGGGCAGCAUUGCUUUACCCCAAGGAUUUUAAUGGGUGCAGUCUUCGAUACUUUCCGAACAGCCAGGGAGUCAGCUUCAAGAUGAUGCGAACACUGUUUCUGGAACAAUAGCACCUCUAACACAGUCAGUGUGACUGUAUGCCCAAUUAACAAAACCUUAACAUACAGAGUAACAGUCCGAUUUGUAUGAAACUCAUUGACAGCCUGGGUAACAGGAAAAAAUGCUCUACGCAAGGUUAGUAAAGUCAGCGCAGGAUAGAACUUCAGUUAGACUCAGCUGCGUCGUCGGAAGUACCUCCAAAUAGCACCGCGUAGGCUACCCGGUUGGAAAAGAAAUAAAGAGGAAAAAAGUAAAUAAAUUACUGAGGAAAAAGAAGAGAUAGAGAAGGGAUAGUCAUUAAAAUUUCAGUGAAAGAAAGUGCAAGCAAUAGAUCGGAAGAUUCCUGUCCGAACAAGAGCGAAAUUAAAUGUAGCUGAAAUUGGGGGAUUAAUCUGGAAUAAAAUAUGGCGAAAGCAAGAUGCUUCCAAGGGGAGCAGAGGGACGACUGUCGUCCUAUAUAUGUUUGUGCUCAUCACCUGCACUUAGAGUCUGUCUGGCAGCCGGGUUGUGUCAGUUAGCGCAUUAACUUCCGCAGCAUCGCCCAUUCUUUAAGAUCCACAGUGCUGGUAUCAGAUCGCCAGUAGCCAAACAGUCUUCUCUAUAUCAUUUCUGAGCUUAAAGAUGUCGUUGCAGUCUCAAUUGUGCGUGGCAACCAUUUCUGUCCACAGAGGCUAACACUGAUCGAGUUUCUAUUGCGGAGCAGGCUGUGGAGCGGCACUAGAAGUGAGAGGGGGAGGAAGGGCUUGUUGAGUGCUCGGAUUUCGGGAGCAAACCAUGGCAAAAGACGUGGGCGUGGAGCCUGGGUUCCCCUCCAAGGACUACACAGACCCACCUCCUGCGCCUCUCAUUGACGCAUCCGAGUUUGGGCAAUGGUCCUUCUACCGAGCAGUCAUCGCUGAGUUUGUAGCCACUCUUCUCUUCCUGUACAUUACCAUUGCCACCGUGAUAGGCGCAGUCCGAAAUGCUGGCUGUGAUGGGGUGGGACUUCUUGGCAUCGCAUGGGCUUUUGGAGGCAUGAUUUUCGUGCUGGUGUACUGCACCGCCGGUAUCUCAGGUACACGAGGGCUGAUCAUUACAAGCUCAAAGUCGUCGAUGAGCUCUUUGGAAGACUAGCAGAGGACCACAGAUUGAAUCCCAGUGGUGAACCCUCCAGAGUAGAUUACAAUUGCUCUCCGAGCUAAUUUGGCUGCUACGUGGUCUUCAUUAAAUUUCAGAAAACAAUUAUAGUGAAGGGAAAACAUUCAGGGAACUUGUUGAGUGAUUUCAUGCUCUUGCUGACGCUUACUAAAAUUUUAUGAACUUUUCUCUGGAAUUUGACAGGAGGUCAUAUUAAUCCAGCUGUUACGUUCGGCUUGCUGUUGGCACGCAAAAUCUCGCUGCCCCGAGCGCUUGCCUACAUGAUCGCGCAGUGCUUAGGAGCUAUCUGCGGUGCCGGUCUAGUGAAGGGAUUUCAGACUGCUUUCUACAUGAGGUAUGGUGGAGGCGCAAACUCUGUGGCCGCAGGGUACAGCAUCGGCACAGGACUAGCCGCCGAGAUCAUCGGAACGUUUGUUCUAGUGUACACCGUCUUCUCUGCCACAGACCCCAAGCGCAAUGCUCGUGAUUCUCAUGUGCCGGUAAGACUUCAAUGCACUAGACCAGCGAUUGUUCUAGGUGUUAAGCAUGGGGAUCUGUGAACACCGACGACGGUGUCUCAAGUGAUAGACGCUAGCAACAUGCGUUAAUUCCCAAAGCGACCUUGUGGGUAAAAUUUGGGACCUGCCUGAUCGCAAUCAGCUCGUACAAUCCUUGUGUGGACCACAUGUGUGAGGAAGCCUGCGUUUUGUGUGUGAGUGUGUGUGUUUUAGCGCUGGUCAAAUGUCACACUGAGUGGGAUUCUUUGCUCCGCAGGUGUUGGCUCCUCUUCCCAUAGGAUUUGCGGUGUUCAUGGUUCAUUUGGCAACUAUUCCCAUUACCGGAACUGGAAUCAACCCAGCAAGAAGCUUUGGCGCCGCUGUCAUCUACAACCGCAGCAAGCCUUGGAAUGACCACGUAAGUUGACCAGUUAUCGUCGUGCUGCUGUCAUGAGCAAAAGCUGUAGGACCAACGAACAUGUGCUUGCCAUCACUAACGAACACCCUGUUUUAGAAACUUUUGACUAAGUCUCUGUGGCUUCUGUCGAUUACCGGAGACGGUGUGGUGAACUGACUGAUUGGUAAUGUGGAUUGUUGAACAUUGUGCAGUGGAUCUAUUGGGUGGGUCCAUUCCUGGGAGCUGCUUUGGCCGCCGCUUACCACCAAUAUGUGCUUAGAGCUGGUCCUUUCAAGUCUCUGGGCUCCUUCCGCAGUGCCCCAAGUCACAUCUAAACGUGACAAUCUGCAUCUCCAUGAACCAGCCUUGGUGACUUGCAUUUUGGAAUAAUCAACCUUUUAUCUUGUUCUUCAGCAUUCCAUCCUCAGUCGAUUGUUUUUUUUUUGUGGUAUGCUAACUUAUGUACGUGAAAGUCGAUCGACACCGAGUGACCGAGCUCUCAACAAUUCAUCUUGGCUGCCGGCGGGACUCCUGCAGUUUUGCUUUGUUUUCUUUUUUCUUUUUUCUUUUAUAAUUAUUGAUUUCUUUUCUUCUUUUUUUCUAUUUUUUUCCUUUCUUAGAGAGUAUGUACGUAGGGCAUGUAAUCCUGACGUUCUCUUGUAAACAGAAAUCAGAUUUUAAAAAGCAGUUUGUACUCCCUUGUAAAGAUGGUUAAUCUUGGUAUUUUUCAGCUUUUCCGUCUGUAUCUGAGUGCCAUUGUAGCGGUUUAGUCCGAGUUCCGGCACAAUUGUGUAGCUGAACAGCAGCUUUCGUCGGUGGUUGUUGCUCGUAUCUGGCUUUUGGUAGUAGCUCAAAUAUUGGUAAACCAUAUAAGUUGCAGCUGGUGUUGCCUCUGUUUGGCUGUCGACGUUGGAUACAAUGCUCUAGUGUGAGGGAUCGUACGUCGACUCUUGUAUUGAUAGAUUUCUGUGAAGAAAUAAAUCGGUUUAUACUUCAUGGUCCACAUCUUGUGCUCUGGCUUGCUCAGGUUCCAAUCCUUGAGCUUUCACUUUUCUGUUUCUUAAAAAACAUGAACACGGUUUUUUGAAAGAAUUGUCGAACAAAUUCGGUGGCAUGAAGGGCCUUCAUGUUCACACCACAAUGUGUUAUUGAUUUCCAAGCGUUUGAAGUUCUAAAUUAGUUGCAACAUGCAAAUUCCUCUUCUUUUGGUAUUACACCACAAAGGUAAGAUGAAUCAGAGCUUGUAGCCCAUGAAUACUAGUUUAGUUGAUGUCGAGAGGAGUUACCCAAGCCACAGAAUUGCAACCUUACCUGCAGAAUUUGCUCCAUCACUUGCUUUGUGCAUGGCUGACAACUAAUGCAUGUCACAGUGGCCAACUGCAAUUACUUACAAAGCCACCAAUCGAUGUUCUGGUGGGAUCAAAAGCGCAAUCUGUUUACUGUCUCCCUUCGAUCUCACCUCACAUCUCAAUAAUGAAAUUCGUAGAAAAUUGUCAACCACAUAAUUUCAUUCAGUAUGAUUGUGCAGGUCAGUUCAGAACUUCUGCUCUCCCUCUUCCCCAGAAAGAGAAGAAAAUUUCAUAUCAAACCGAUAAUCUAGUAAUUUGCGUGGACAAAAAAUUUGAUCAACUUGUGUUAGGGCUUUGUCAAAGAAGUCCCCUCCCAAUUUCAGCCAAGUGUAUGGUUGCAGUAUCUCCUUUGAUACAAAAUAAGCUCCCCAACAUUACCAUUUAGAGAAAUAUUCACGUUUCAGUUCAGAAUUCCUCG
rnacentral:lncRNA from 1 species